rnacentral:rRNA from 1 species
AGUGAACGCUGGCGGUAGGCCUAACACAUGCAAGUCGAGCGGCAGCACAGUAAGAGCUUGCUCUUACGGGUGGCGAGUGGCGGACGGGUGAGGAAUACAUCGGCAUCUACUUUUUCGUGGGGGAUAACGUAGGGAAACUUACGAUACUACCGCAUACGACGUACGGGUGAAAUCAGUGGAGAUUCGCACCUUUCCCGUCUCAAUUAGACGAUGUCGCAUUAGCUAGUUGGGGGGGUAAAGGCUCACCAAGGCGACGAUCCGUAGCUGGUCUGAGAGGAUGAUCAGCCACACUGGAACUGAGACACGGUCCAGACUCCUACGGGAGGCAGCAGUGGGGAAUAUUGGACAAUGGGCGCAAGCCUGACGGAGCCAUACCGCGUGGGUGAUGAAGGCCUUCGGGUCGUAAAGCUCUUUUAUUAGGAAAGAACAGCAGUAUGAGAAACUAUGCCUGUUUUGACGGUACCUAAUGAGAAAGCCCCGGCUAACUACGUG